GACGAACGCUGGCGGCGUGCUUAACACAUGCAAGUCGAACGGAAAGGCCCUGCUUUUGUGGGGUGCUCGAGUGGCGAACGGGUGAGUAACACGUGAGUAACCUGCCCUUGACUUUGGGAUAACUUCAGGAAACUUGGGCUAAUACCGGAUAGGAGCUCCUGCUGCAUGGUGGGGGUUGGAAAGUUUCGGCGGUUGGGGAUGGACUCGCGGCUUAUCAGCUUGUUGGUGGGGUAGUGGCUUACCAAGGCUUUGACGGGUAGCCGGCCUGAGAGGGUGACCGGCCACAUUGGGACUGAGAUACGGCCCAGACUCCUACGGGAGGCAGCAGUGGGGAAGAGUGCACAAUGGGCGGAAGCCUGAUGCAGCAACGCCGCGUGCGGGAUGACGGCCUUCGGGUUGUAAACCGCUUUCGCCUGUGACGAAGCGUAAGUGACGGUAAUGGGUAAAGAAGCACCGGCUAACUACGUG
rnacentral:rRNA from 1 species